AAACAAAAACAAAAAACAAAACAAAACAUAAAAAGUACAUCCGACCUUACACUCUUUUCUCUUUUAUUUCUAUUUUCUUUAGUUUACUUCUUCUUUAUCGCUCCCAUAUCACGCU
rnacentral:ribozyme from 14 species